CCUAAAAAUUUAUAAUAGAAUUUUAUUUUUUAGUCAAAAAGCUAAAAUAAUAUUAAAAGACGAGAAGACCUUAUAAAUCUUUAUACAUAGAUUAUUAGAAUUUCAUAGAUUUUUUUUGUUAUAAUAAUUAAUUGUAUUUUAUUGGGGUGAUAUUAAAAUUUAAUAAACUUUUAAUUUUAAAAAUCAUUAAUUUAUGAAUAAUUGAUCCGUUAAUAACGAUUAGAAAAAUAAGUUACCUUAGGGAUAACAG
rnacentral:rRNA from 1 species